UACAGAGGUCUCAAGCGUUGUUCGGAUUCAUUGGGCGUAAAGGGUGCGUAGGUGGCGCUGUAAGUCGGGUGUGAAAUUUCGGAGCUUAACUCCGAAACUGCAUUCGAUACUGCGGUGCUUGAGGACUGGAGAGGAGACUGGAAUUCCCAGUGUAGCGGUGAAAUGCGCAGAUAUUGGGAAGAACACCAGUGGCGAAGGCGGUUCUCUGGGACGGUACUGACGCUGAGACGCGAAAGCGUGGGGAGCGACGAGG
rnacentral:rRNA from 1 species